UGGGAUAUACAGCUCAGUGAUAGAGUGCUUGUUUAGUAUAUGUGAUGUCCUGGGUUCAACCCCCAAUACUGCAA
rnacentral:tRNA from 1 species